rnacentral:rRNA from 1 species
UAAGACGAACCGUGCGAACGUUGUUCGGAUUCACUGGGCUUAAAGGGCGCGUAGGCGGGCCAUCCAGUCUGGGGUGAAAUACUUCGGCUCAACCGGAGAACAGCCUUAGAUACUGAUGGUCUCGAGGGAGGUAGGGGUGCGCGGAACUUCCGGUGGAGCGGUGAAAUGCGUAGAUAUCGGAAGGAACGCCGGUGGCGAAAGCGGCGCACUGGAUCUCUUCUGACGCUGAGGCGCGAAAGCCAGGGGAGCGAACGGGAUUAGAUACCCCGGUAGUCCUGGCCCUAAACGAUGGGUACUAGGUAGUAGGCCGCAUGGGUUUACUGCCGAAGCAAAAGUGAUAAGUACCCCGCCUGGGGAGUAUGGUCGCAAGGCUG